UGCAAGUCGAACGGGGACUUCGGUCCUAGUGGCGAACGGUCGCGUAACACGUAAGCAACCUGCCCUGAAGUGGGGGGCAACAUCCCGAAAGGGGUGCUAAUACCGCAUGUGGUCACGAGUCGGCAUCGACUUGUGUCUAAAGAUUUAUCGCUUCAGGAUGGGCUUGCGGCCUAUCAGGUAGUUGGUGGGGUAAUGGCCUACCAAGCCGACGACGGGUAGCUGGUCUGAGAGGACGAUCAGCCGGAUUGGGACUGAGAUACGGCCCAGACUCCUACGGGGGGCAGCAAUUAGGAAUCUUGCGCAAUGGGGGCAACCCUGACGCAGCGACGUCGCGUGAAGGAUGAAGGCCCUCGGGUCGUAAACUUCUUUUGAGUGGGAAGAAAUUUGACGGUACCACUCGAAUAAGCCCCGGCUAGGGGGGGUGCCAGCAGCCGCGGUAAUACGUAGGGGGCGAGCGUUGUCCGAAGUUACUGGGCGUAAAGCGCGCGUAGGCGGUUAUUCAAGUCUGGGGUGAAAGGUUUAGCGCUCAACGUGAACAGUGCCUUGGAUACUGGAUGACUUGAGUCUGGGAGGGGGAAGGGGAAUUCCUGGUGUAGCGGUGAAAUGCGUAGAUAUCAGGAGGAACACCGGUGGCGAAGGCGCCUUCCUGGCCUAAGACUGACGCUGAGGUGCGAAAGCGUGGGGAGCAAACGGGAUUAGA
rnacentral:rRNA from 1 species